rnacentral:rRNA from 1 species
GACGAACCGUGCGAACGUUGUUCGGAAUCACUGGGCUUAAAGGGCGCGUAGGCGGGCUGUCAAGUCUGGGGUGAAAUGCCGCGGCUCAACCGUGGAACUGCCUUAGAUACUGACGGCCUCGAGGGAGGUAGGGGCGUGCGGAACUGUAGGUGGAGCGGUGAAAUGCGUUGAUAUCUACAGGAACUCCGGUGGCGAAAGCGGCGCGCUGGACCUCUUCGACGCUGAGGCGCGAAAGCUAGGGGAGCAAACGGG